GACCCGUCGUUAGCUAAUCCGCGCCCACUCAAAACCGCAUUCCGCUUCUCAUUUCUCUCCCUGGUUUUACACCUCUCUAGGGUUUUGACAGAGCAAAAUGGCGAUGGCGUUCUUGGGCCGAACCCUAAUGUCAAAUCCCACCAUCUCACUCUCCACUAUCUUCUCUCGCUCUUUCUCUUCCUCCUCUCAUCUCUAUCGCUCUUCUCCUCUCCUCCGCUUCCGCCUCCUCGCCGCCCUACCGGGCCUCCGACUUUAUCCGGCGGCUUCCGGCCUCCGAUGCUUCUCGACCCGACCGACGACGUCCUCGUUGAACGACCCGUCGCCGAACUGGAGCAACCGUCCGCCGAAGGAGACUAUUUUAUUGGACGGCUGCGAUUUCGAGCACUGGCUCAUCGUCAUGGAGCCGCCUGAGGGGAACCCUACAAGAGACGAGAUUAUCGAUAGCUACAUCAAGACGCUAGCCCAGGUCCUUGGAAGUGAAGAAGAAGCAAAAAAGUCAAUUUACUCAGUAUCAACUAGGCACUACUUUGCUUUCGGAUGCCUUGUCUCGGAGGAACUUUCUUACAAGAUUAAGCCUUUGCCAAGAGUUCGGUGGGUUCUUCCUGAUUCUUACUUGAAUGUCAAGAAUAAAGAUUAUGGAGGGGAACCUUUCAUAGAUGGAAAAGCUGUUCCAUAUGAUCCUAAAUACCAUGAGGAAUGGGUUCGAAACAAUGCACGUGCAAAUGAGAGGUCUAGGCGCAAUGAUAGGCCUCGCAAUUUCGAUCGAUCAAGGAACUUUGAGAGAAGAAGAGAUAAUAUGCAGAACCAUGAUUUUCAAAGCAGAGAUGCACCUCCAAUGCCCAAUAGGGAUUUCCAGAACCGGGACGUGCAGAGCUCAAUGCCUCCUAGAGAGAAUGUUGCCGGGGGCAUGCCUAAUAGAGAUGCUGGACCGGGCGGAGGAUAUUCAAACAUGCCCAACAACAGCGGACCAGGUGGAGGAUACCCAAACAUGCCCAACAACAGCGGACCUGGUGGAGGAUACUCAAACAUGCCUAACAGUGGUGCUCCAGGUGGAGGAUACUCAAACAUGCCCAACAGUGGUGCUCCGGGUGGAGGAUACUCAAACAUGCCCAACAGCGGUGCUCCAGGUGGAGGAUACUCAAACAUGCCCAACAGCGGUGCUCCGGGUGGAGGAUACUCAAACAUGGCCAACAGCAGUAGUCCAGGUGGGGGAUACUCAAACAUGCCCAACAGCGGCGGGCCAAGCGGGGGGUAUUCUAACAUGCCCAACAGCGGUGGGCCAAGCAGUGGGUAUUCGAACAUGCCCAAUAGUGUUGGGCCGAGCGGGGGAUACUCGAAUGUGCCUAACAGUGGCCCUGGAUAUAUGCCUAAUAGGGAUUUUCAACAAAGUAGGGAGAUACCAAACAGAGAGUACCAGAACAACUACAUGCCAAACAGAGAUGUGGGAAACAUUCCAAGUGGCAAUGCUUAUCAGGGAAGAGAUAUGCCAGGGAGAGAUUUGCCCCCAAUGUAAAACAGAGACUAUUAGUAGGUCUGAUAUGGGGAGCAUGCUGAGUGAUAGUGUGCUUCUCAAGAUUCAUUUACUACAUGAAGUGUGCCAUGGUUCCUUGUUUGGAUUGGUGGAAACAGUGGAAAAAUGUGGAAUGGAAAUCUAUUUCCAUAUCUAUGGGAAAUGGAACUGUUAAUUCUAGGUUUCUGUGCUUACAAAACAUGUUGAUCAUUUGAUCUAUUAACAUUUGUAUGGAAAUCACUUUUGCUACAACAAACAGGUUAAUAUGGAAUUUUUUUUAACGGAA